UUAUGAAUAUAAAAUAAGUUUAUGCCAGAGUACUACGAGCGCACAUGGAAUGUAGUAAGGCUUAAAACUCAAAGGGCUUGGCGGUGUUUUAGACUGUUCAGGGGAACCUGUCCCGUAAUCGAUAAUCCGCGAAGGACCUAGCUCCUUCUGGCGUUCAGCAUGUAUACCGUCGUCUUCAGGCAACUUUUUAGAAAAUAAGAGUUGGCAGAUUUAGUUAGAAAAAUUAACUAUUAUGUCAGAUAAAGGUGCAGCUUAUGAAGGAGGGAGGAUGGGUUACAAUACGCAUUUGGUGCUGAUGUUCAUUUGAAAGAAUAAGCUGAAGGAGGACUUGAAAGUAAGAGCAUUAUAAGAAAUGAGCUCUGAACUUAGCUCUGGAACGUGU
rnacentral:rRNA from 1 species